CGACAGCAUCGGCUGCUCUCCAGGUUCCCCGGCCUGCCCUCCGGCCCCUCUAGGAACCGGGAGGUUUCCGUCUCUGUGCCCCGGGCUGGAGUCCUCUCGGCGCCCUGGCCCCGCCUCCUUCCAGCCGUGCCUGCUGCUGGGAGAGCCGAGGCCGGAGACUCCUCCUCCCGCACAUCCCACGCCUCUCAGCCGCGGAGCCGGGAUCCAGAGGGCCUAUGGCCGCAAUGCAAGCACUCCUCGAGCGCCUGCCUCGGCACGCGGACACGGCAGCGAAGACCCCGCCGCGUGGCGCUUAAUCAAGUCCAAGGUUCAGUGACGCAGACACGCAGAACGUCGCGUGAGGGGACAGAGAGGGGUGGUGGAGGGACCGUUUUGUAGAUGGCAGCCAGGGGAGGCAGAGACAGGAAGCGAGCGACUGAAUCACGUGAACAUUUAGGGGAAGCGUUCCUCCUUCCUCGUAGACAGAACAUUAGAAGGCUUGAAUCGGGACUGGGGAGGCAGGGACCACCCCGAGGACCUUGAAGGCUAGACAGGAGCUUGGGUCUGCUCUGAGUAACAGGGAGAAACAGGGAGCUCGCCGCUGGACAGCUCGGGCAGAGGAGUGCCACGCUAGUCACUUUUUCUUGCCACCGUCCGAAGAAGAUUCAUUAGCUGUGAGACACAGAAGGAACCAAGAAACGUGUUCCUCUCUUCGUUCCCAUGGAUCCUGGGCAUCAACGCACAUGAAUCCAGAUUUCACAUGACCCGGGAAUCGGAAUCCAUGAUUAGCCAUGUGGCUUGAGCCUUGCAGGUCCCUGCAUUACCAAUGCACCACUGCCAGUUCUUUGUUCUUG